AUGCUUGGUGUAUUCUUGUGUAGUUGUGUUUUCAUCGGAAAAACAAGGAUGUGGGUCAGACUCCAGUUCAUCACGACUCCAUUAACGGAGUUUGACCACUCUGAAAAAGGUGAUGCUCUGUAUGCAAUGGAGUUUGGCUCUUGCUCUCGAAAAGAUGGUGAACAAGAAGCUGCCCAACCUGCACACUAGGGAAGAAGUUGUGGUGGCGGUGAAUUAUGCAGCCAUUGUCUCUCACGACCGCCGGCCCCUGCUCGCGACGUCUCUACUGGAGCCGCCUCUGCCUACUCUGGUGUGUUGCAGCUCCUUACUCUAGCCACAUGCUGCUUGCUCUCCCGCUAG
rnacentral:rRNA from 1 species